CUGCGGCCACCGCUWUMGGRAUUCGAUUAAGACAUGCGAGUCGAGAGUCUUCGGGACUCGGCGGACUGCUCAGUAACACGUGGAUAACAUGCCCUUUAGGAGGGGGAUAAUCUCGAGAAAUUGAGGAUAAUACCCCAUAGGCCAUGAAUGCUGGAAUGCUUUAUGGCCCAAAGCUCCGGCGCCUAAGGAUUGGUCUGCGGCCUAUCAGGUUGUAGUGGGUGUAACGGACCCACUAGCCUAUGACGGGUAUGGGCCUUGAGAGAGGGAGCCCAGAGAUGGACUCUGAGACACGAGUCCAGGCCCUACGGGGCGCAGCAGUCGCGAAACCUUCACACUGGGGGAAACCCUGAUGAGGGAAUUCCUAGUGCCUGCAUUUUUUGUAGGCUUUUAUCUAGUGUAGAUAGCUAGAAGAAUAAGGGCCGGGUAAGACGGGUGCCAGCCGCCGCGGUAAUACCCGCGGCCCAAGUGGUGGUCGAUAUUAUUGAGUCUAAAACGUCCGUAGCCGGUUCAGUAAAUCUUUGGGUAAAUCGGCCAGCUUAACUGACCGAAUUCCGAAGAGACUGCUGAACUUGGGACCGGGAGAGGCCAGAGGUACUUCUGGGGUAGGGGUAAAAUCCUGUAAUCCUAGAAGGACCACCGGUGGCGAAGGCGUCUGGCUAGAACGGAUCCGACGGUGAGGGACGAAGCCCUGGGGCGCAAACGGGAUUAGAUACCCCGGUAGUCCAGGGUGUAAACGCUGCAGGCUUGGUGUUGGGGGUCCUUCGGGGGCGCCCAGUGCCGGAGAGAAGUUGUUAAGCCUGCUACUUGGGGAGUACGUCCGCAAGGAUGAAACUUAAAGGAAUUGGCGGGGGAGCACCGCAMCGGGAGGAGCGUGCGGUUUAUUG
rnacentral:rRNA from 1 species